GGGUGCGAUCAUACCAGCACUAAUGCAGCGGAUCCCAUCAGAACUCCGAAGUUAAGAGUGCUUGGGCGAGAGUAGUACUAGGAUGGGUGACCUCCUGGGAAGUCUUCGUGUUGCACCCC
rnacentral:rRNA from 1 species